rnacentral:rRNA from 1 species
UUCCGUAGGUGGAACCUGCGGAAGGAUCAUUACUGAGAUAAUGCCCCUUUGGGGUAUACCUCCCACCCUGUGUAUUUAUACUUUGUUGCUUUGGCGGGUAGUGCCCGUGGUUACUCGCUAGCCGCUCGCACGCGCACCCGCCAGAGGUUACCCAAAUUCUAUUUUAUUCAUGUCGUCUGAGUACUAUAUCAAUAGUUAAAACUUUCAACAACGGAUCUCUUGGUUCUGGCAUCGAUGAAGAACGCAGCGAAAUGCGAUAAGUAAUGUGAAUUGCAGAAUUCAGUGAAUCAUCGAAUCUUUGAACGCACAUUGCGCCCCUUGGUAUUCCAGGGGGCAUGCCUGUUCGAGCGUCAUUUCAACCCUCAAGCUCAGCUUGGUAUUGGGCCUCUUGCUAGUCACAUAGCAGGCCUCAAAAUCAGUGGCGGCGCCGUUGGGUCCUGAACGUAGUAAUUUAUUUCGUUACAGGCUCUCCAGCGUGCUUCCGCCAUUAAACCCCCCCACUUUCUAGUUUGACCUCGGAUCAGGUAGGGAUACCCGCUGAACUUAAGCAUAUCAAU